rnacentral:rRNA from 1 species
CACAAUGGACGAAAGUCUGAUGGAGCAACGCCGCGUGAGUGAAGAAGGGUUUCGGCUCGUAAAGCUCUGUUGGUAGUGAAGAAAGAUAGAGGUAGUAACUGGCCUUUAUUUGACGGUAAUUACUUAGAAAGUCACGGCUAACUACGUGCC